CGGCGGACGGGUGAGUAACGCGUGGGUAACCUACCCCAAAGUCCGGGAUAACAGCGGGAAACCGCUGCUAAUACCGGAUGCCUUUACCUUGGGGCAUCUUGAGGUAAAGAAAGGUAACGCUUUGGGAUGGGCCCGCGUCCCAUUAGCUAGUUGGUGAGGUAACGGCUCACCAAGGCGACGAUGGGUAGCCGGCCUGAGAGGGUGGACGGCCACACUGGGACUGAGACACGGCCCAGACUCCUACGGGAGGCAGCAGUAGGGAAUAUUGCGCAAUGGACGGAAGUCUGACGCAGCGACGCCGCGUGAGCGAUGAAGGUCUUCGGAUCGUAAAGCUCUGUCCUUGGGGAAGAAGGUCUUCGGACUUGACGGUACCCAAGAAGAAAGCCCCGGCUAACUACGUGCCAGCAGCCGCGGUAAUACGUAGGGGGCGAGCGUUGUCCGGAAUUACUGGGCGUA
rnacentral:rRNA from 1 species